rnacentral:rRNA from 1 species
GAUGAACGCUGGCGGCGUGCCUAACACAUGCAAGUCGAACGGAAAGGCCCUGCUUUUGCGGGGUGCUCGAGGGGCGAACGGGUGAGUAACACGGGAGUAACCUGCCCUUGACUGGGGGAUAACUUCAGGAAACUGGGGCUAAUACAGGAUAGGAGCUCCUGCUGCAUGGGGGGGGUUGGAAAGCUUCGGCGGUGGUGGAUGGACUCGCGGCUUAUCAGCUUGUGGGGGGGGUAGUGGCUUACCAAGGCUUCGACGGGUAGCCGGCCUGAGAGGGUGACCGCCCACCUUGGGCCUGCGGUACGCCCCAGUCUCCUACAUGAGGCAGCGGUGGAAAGUAUUGCCCAAUGGGCCGGCGCCUGAUGCGGCGGCGCCGCGAGCGUAAUGCCCGCCUUCGGGUUGUGAACCGCUUUCGCCUGUGACGAAGCGUGAGUGACGGUAAUGGGUAAAUAAGCACCGGCUAACUACGUG